rnacentral:rRNA from 1 species
AAUAGAUACCCCGGUAGUCCACGCCGUAAACGAUGAGUGCUAAGUGUUAGGGGGUUUCCGCCCCUUAGUGCUGCAGCUAACGCAUUAAGCACUCCGCCUGGGGAGUACGGUCGCAAGACUGAAACUCAAAGGAAUUGACGGGGGCCCGCACAAGCGGUGGAGCAUGUGGUUUAAUUCGAAGCAACGCGAAGAACCUUACCAGGUCUUGACAUCCCAUUGACCACUAUGGAGACAUAGUUUUCCCUUCGGGGACAACGGUGACAGGUGGUGCAUGGUUGUCGUCAGCUCGUGUCGUGAGAUGUUGGGUUAAGUCCCGCAACGAGCGCAACCCUUGUUCUUAGUUGCCAUCAUUUAGUUGGGCACUCUAAGGAGACUGCCGGUGACAAACCGGAGGAAGGUGGGGAUGACGUCAAAUCAUCAUGCCCCUUAUGACCUGGGCUACACACGUGCUACAAUGGACGGUACAAACGGUUGCCAACCGCGAGGGGGAGCUAAUCCGAUAAAACCGUUCUCAGUUCGGAUUGUAGGCUGCAACUCGCCUACAUGAAACCGG